rnacentral:rRNA from 1 species
AUGGAUCAGAGGAGAGGGUCGAAGAUGGGGCGACUCACCAUCUACCGGAACCGCGCUCUCGGACACGAGCAUUUGAUGCAAGACUACUUCGCGGAGGUACCUACAUACCCUCCUCGUCUCUUCCGCAGAAGGUACCGAAUGCGUCGUAGUUUGUUUGUGAAGAUUGUCACCGAUUGUGAGGCCGCCUCCGAUUACUUUAAACGUCGCAGAUCCGCCGACGGUAUCAUGGGGUUUAGUGCAUAUCAAAAGAUAUCGGCGGCAAUGUGGGUACUCGCUUAUGGCAUACCCGCGGAUUAUACCGACGAGUCCGUCCGUAGGUUUGCCAAGUUGGUCAUCCGGUUGUAUGGUGAGCAGUAUCUUCGGGCACCAAACGAGGAAGAUACAAAGAGAUUAAUGGAAAUGAAUGAAAAAAAGGGAUGGCCGGGGAUGCUUGGUAGUCUUGAUUGCAUGCAUUGGAGGUGGAAAAAUUGCCCAAAGGCAUGGCACGGAAUGUAUUGCAGUAAAAGCCAUGAUGCUAUCAUUGUGCUUGAGGCCGUAGCAUCGGAGGACACAUGGAUUUGGCAUGCAUUCUUUGGGUUGCCGGGAACACUCAAUGAUAUCAAUGUCCUCAAUAGAUCUCCUUUGUUCAAAAGAUUAAUUUCUGGGGAUGCUUCAACAUGCAACUACAAAAUCAUGGACAAUGAGUACUCAAUGGGAUACCAUCUCACCGAUGGCAUCUAUCCCGAAUGGGCAACUCUUGUGAAGUCCAUCAAGGAGAAAAAUGGGGUGCCCUUAACAAGAAAAGAGGCUCAUUUCACCAAGGCACAAGAGGCAGACCGCAAGGAUAUUGAGAGAGCUUUCGGUGUUUUGCAAGCAAGGUUUGCCAUAGUUCGGGUCCAGCUCAGUUUUGGGACAAAAAAACCUUGGUGA